ACGGGAGGCAGCAGUGGGGAAUAUUGGGCAAUGGGCGAAAGCCUGACCCAGCAACGCCGCGUGAAGGAAGAAGGUCUUCGGAUUGUAAACUUCUUUUAUGUAGGACGAAGAAAGUGACGGUACUACAUGAAUAAGCCACGGCUAACUACGUGCCAGCAGCUGCGGUAAUACGUAGGUGGCAAGCGUUAUCCGGAUUUACUGGGUGUAAAGGGCGCGUAGGCGGGGGUGCAAGUCAGAUGUGAAAUCCUUGGGCUCAACCCAUGAACUGCAUUUGAAACUGUAUCUCUUGAGUGCUGGAGAGGUAGAUGGAAUUCCUAGUGUAGCGGUGAAAUGCGUAGAUAUUAGGAAGAACACCAGUGGCGAAGGCGAUCUACUGGACAGUAACUGACGCUGAGGCGCGAAAGCGUGGGGAGCAAACAGGAUUAGAUACCCUGGUA
rnacentral:rRNA from 1 species